AUACGUAGGGGGCGAGCGUUGUCCGGAAUGAUUGGGCGUAAAGGGCGCGUAGGCGGCCCGGUAAGUCUGGAGUGAAAGUCCUGUUUUUAAGAUGGGAAUUGCUUUGGAUACUGUCGGGCUUGAGUGCAGGAGAGGUAAGUGGAAUUCCCAGUGUAGCGGUGAAAUGCGUAGAGAUUGGGAGGAACACCAGUGGCGAAGGCGACUUACUGGACUGUAACUGACGCUUAGGCGCGAAAGUGUGGGGAGCAAACAGGAUUAGAUGCCCUGGUAGUCCACGCCGUAAACGAUGAAUACUAGGUGUCGGGUUUCUAUAGAGAUUCGGUGCCGCAGCAAACGCAAUAAGUAUUCCACCUGGGGAGUACGUUCGCAAGAAUGAAACUCAAAGGAAUUGACGGGG
rnacentral:rRNA from 1 species